UCUUUCGUCCUGUCGCAUGGACGCGUUCGGUGAGCAGGUCCAGAGACACAAACACAAGUGGACGUAUCUUCAGAAGGAUCGGGCAGGAACACUUUUCUACAGAUAAGAACUGACAGCAGUUUCUCUCGACUGGGUUACCCAUAAUUCCCCUCGCCGUCAUGAGUGGUGUGGCACACUUCAGCUCCGAGGCGUAUGCCGUCCGUGGGAACGUGACUCCCGACACUCAGCCCCGGGCUCCCUUCUGAAGACACGUACACACACAUUCACACCAUCCUCAUAGUCAUCAUCUUUUGCAUCGUCUGCUUCCUGCUCUUGGUGGCGUUCUUCUACGCCUUCUGCUUCCACUGCACGCUCCAGACGUCUCCCAAAGACGAGCGGCACAACUCCGGCUGCAGUCUGGACCGAGAGGACGCCACCUUCAGACGCAGCUCCUCCAGCCCCUCGCUGGGAAACACCAUCUGAGACAGACCUCUGAAAGAACUAACUGUUGUUGUUAUUAUUUGUAUUACUUUCGUUCCUUUUGAAUUAUUUAUUUUCUGAGGAACACAAACUUAAUUGGAUUAGUAGCUAUUUCAUGCAGUCACCGUAUUUUAAAAAAUAAAUAUACAUACAUACAGAA